UACGGCUCAGUAACACGUAGUUAACCUGCCCUCGGGACGAGAACACCCCCGGGAAACUGGGGCUAAUUCUCGAUAGGCGAAGAACUCUGGAAUGAGUCUUUACCCAAAAGACGUUUAGAUCAUGCUUCUAGGCGUCGCCCAAGGAUGGGGCUGCGACCGAUCAGGUAGUUGGUGAGGCAAUGGCUCACCAAGCCUUUAACCGGUGCGGGCCGUGGGAGCGGGAGCCCGGAGAUGGGCACUGAGACAAGGGCCCAGGCCCUACGGGGCGCAGCAGUCGCGAAAACUUUGCAAUAAGCGAAAGCUUGACAGGGCUAUCCCGAGUGCCAUCCGCUGAGGAAGGCUUUUACCCAGUCUAGUAAGCUGGGGGAAUAAGGAGAGGGCAAGUCUGGUGUCAGCCGCCGCGGUAAUACCAGCUCUCCGAGUGGUGUGGAUGUUUAUUGGGCCUAAAGCAUCCGUAGCUGGCUGAGUUAGUCCCCUGUUAAAUCCACCGAAUCAAUCGUUGGAUUGCGGGGGAUACUGCUCGGCUAGGGGACGGGAGAGGCAGACGGUAUUUCCGGGGUAAGGGUGAAAUCUUAUAAUCCCGGGAAGACCUCCAGUGGCGAAGGCUGUCUGCUAGAACGCGCCCGACGGUGAGGGAUGAAAGCUGGGGUAGCGAACCGGAUUAGAUACCCGGGUAGUCCCAGCCGUAAACGAUGCAGGCUAGGUGUUUGGGCGGCCACGUGCCGCUCUAGUGCCGCAGGGAAGCUGUUAAGCCUGCCGCCUGGGGAGUACGAUCGCAAGAUUGAAACUUAAAGGAAUUGGCGGGGGAGCACAAUCA
rnacentral:rRNA from 1 species